GAUGAACGCUGGCGGCGUGCCUAAUACAUGCAAGUCGAGCGAACGGACGAGAAGCUUGCUUCUCUGAUGUUAGCGGCGGACGGGUGAGUAACACGUGGAUAACCUACCUAUAAGACUGGGAUAACUUCGGGAAACCGUAGCUAAUACCGGAUAAUAUUUUGAACCGCAUGGUUCAAAAGUGAAAGACGGUCUUGCUGUCACUUAUAGAUGGAUCCGCGCUGCAUUAGCUAGUUGGUAAGGUAACGGCUUACCAAGGCAACGAUGCAUAGACGACCUGAGAGGGUGAUCGGACACAAUGGAACGGAGAAACGUUACAGACACCUACGGGAGGAAGCAGUAGGGAAUCUUCCGCAAUGGGCGAAAGCAUGACGGAGCAACGACGCGUGAGUGAUGAAGGUAUUCGGAUCGUAAAACUCUGUUAUUAGGGAAGAACAUAUGUGUAAGUAACUGUGCACAUCUUGACGGUACCUAAUCAGAAAGCCACGGCUAACUACGUG
rnacentral:rRNA from 1 species